UAAAGUUAAUAAAUUGGCAGAUAGACGAAAAGGACUAAUUGGAAUAUACAAGUUUGUCCAAAAAUGAUUUUUUGUUUGUUUUAAUUACAUAAACAUUUUUUACAAGUAAACAAUACGUAAAAGUUCAAAUUUGUGUGCCGGAGCCAAAAAAUAAAGAAGAAGAAGAUGAUCAAAUUGUUUAGUCGGGGACUUUUUGAAGGGAAAUGCGAGAAUAGUUAGUGAAUUAAGUGUCUUUUUCUUUAACUGUGUAAUAAUGGCAGCUUAUUAACCACUUAGUGUCCAUGAAUGUGCGUCAGUGUGGGAAAAUAAAAUAAAAUCGCUGGACGUUUAAAAAGGUUACCUUUAAUUUCAAAGAAAUUUUCACCAUUUUACUGAGAGUACUUUUUAUUUUUUAUCUUAUCCAAAAUCUAUUAUUAAGUGUUAUCUCAUCUCACCAUCCUGCCGUUAAUUCCAUUUCAUUUAACUCUGUGUCACUUUUAGACUAUAAUAGAAUAUAAUAGAAAUUAUGUAGUCGCUACAAUAAUUUUAAAUUAAAAACAUGUUUAUUUGUUGUCUAAAUUAAACGUCUAAAUUAGAAGAUAAAAAACUAAUUUAGAUGGAAACUAUCUUUCAUAAAGUUCAUACAGUUUUAAUGCAAUUUUAGAUUAUAUUUCAGACAUGGCUUCGCUAAAUGCUUUAAAAAAAAAAAUUUAGAGAACAACGUGCACUGUGGUAAGAAACAGAUUUUACAGUUACAUAAAUAAUACACUUAUAAUAAAGUUUACAACUUGCAGGCCAUGUUUAAAUAUUAGGUAGUGUAUAACAUACCUACAUAUUUAUGGCCACUUUUGAGCAAUAAAGCUAAAUUACUUUUGACGGGAACGCGAGGAGUGAAGUUGUGUGAUUUGUUUUAUUUAGUCUAUUUAGUGCUUCGUCAGGUUUAAAUAUGUAAUAACGGUGGUUUAUUAAUUGUUUAAUAUCUGUGAAAGUGCACAAAUGUGGAACAAUGAAACAAAGCCGCCAGCCGUAGCUUCUCGGGAUCUUCCAAAAAGUCUGAGGGAGUCCGUAUAGAGUCCCUUCUUUAUUUCGCCGUAAAAUCGUGUUCUAUGUAAUUAGCACCACAUUUGAAACAAUAAGAGUUUUGUUGUUGUAACGGCAUAAAUAAUUCUAAGAUAUUAUAUUAAAUUAGUUAUUAUACACCUUA